AUGUUUGCUAUCUUGGAGUUUCUCGUUCAAGACAAUGUUCGUGAUUCCAUCAGAGGCCCCAUGGCGCUGUAUCUGUAUCCAGUUCUCUUUAAACAUCCACAGUGUCAGGCAGCACAGAGCAGAUCGUACCGGCAGGAAGUCGGGCACAGAAACGGCGUAGAGAAUCCAGUCAGCCAAAAUAAAAUAGCCAAGAUCAACAAUAUGUCACAACCUGUGGCACCAGACGAGAAGUCACUCAGUCAGAGGAGAUUUGACACCAUAGACGAUGACGAGAAGUUCAUCGACCACAGUUGCUUUUUAAGGACAAAAUACAUACUAAUCCACCGCAGAGCAGCCGCUGUGGGACUUCAGAGCUCACGCAGGCGGAUCCCAAAGCAAUUUGGCCCCCAUCUUUAUUCUGCUUAACAAUACCGGCAGAGAAAACUAAUUAGCCUCCAUGAAUACACACACAUACACACAGCGUGGCCUUCGGCGGGCGGAGACAUCGACACUCAAGCCACGUCCAAAGGAGGAUGCACCCGCUUCUCCCCUCGGCCGACAUUGCGAAGGUCUCUUCUGCCUUAAUCCUCUUUGACUUUAUUCAUGCAAAGGUCAUCUCUGUUUCUGGAAAUGGAGGAUGGUUGUGGAGGGUCUCCGAGCUGAAGAGCCAUGGAAGAGCCUGGAAGACGCUGUGUGUGUGUGUGUGUGUGUGUAUGUGUGAUUUCAGGAUCAUUAGUCACCAAUAAAGCCUGAUACGUGAUCUCAGAGAUUGCUGCCUGUUCCUGGAAAAGAUACUGCUGUCAUUGUGUUUCCCCAGCAGAUAUUAGACACCUCGUGUUUUGGACAUUUUGGGAUUGUUUUAUUUUCAACUGAUUGAUUGGCAAUCUGCCGAUGUAACCGGGCACGGAUGGCUUCAUCAGAUGACAGCAAUUCAGAGUUUCCUCUUGUUAAAGGAUGAGUGUGUAGGAUUUAAUGAGAGUUUAGUAAGAUUGCAACCAACUGAGUACUGUUCGCGUUUAAGUGUGUGCGAGAAACGACGGUGAACAUGAAACAGUGUUUACUUUGUCUGUUAGAUAAAAACUUUCUAAGAUAACAAAAACACAACGAUUCCUAUAUUCAGGUGAUUAAACACUAAUGAAAACAAACCUAUGAAUAUUAUACUACAUUCCUCAAUGUUUCACACUGGACCUUGAAUUCACUUUGGCCGAAUGAAACACAUCUUGGAGUUUGGGGCUUUGAAGUGUUAUGAAUCUUUUCUUGCCAAGACACGUCCUGCGUUGGUGAUUGUUGGAAGGUUUUGAUGAGUUGUAUUUUGGUUUCUGUCUCUCUGCUUUGGUGUGAGAUGCUGAUGCUUUAAUGUGACAUUCAGUGUCAAGUGAAUUUAUAUAUGACCUUCGAACUGAACUUCCCGUUAGCAACCAAACACCAAAAGCAAAUGUUUGAAAGAAGUGAUGUAAAAUCCUCCCUCUUUAGUUUAAAGUUCAGGUUUUCCACCUGGUUUUAUUUUGCUGUUCUAAGUGAAGGAAGGUUGAACGGAGGUUUGAAGCGGACACCACUGAUUGGUCGUUAUUUAAUACUGAAUUAAAGGCAAAAUAAGUCCUAACAUUGGCUUGUUAUUCUGGGCCGCCAAUACAUCAGUUGAAGCCUAAUUACAUGAAGUGCUGCAGCACCCAGAGGGGAGCCACGCACCAGCAGCCAUGUAAAACAGAGGAAACACACAGCAGAGAAGUGGCAGUCAAUUUAGCCCGAGUGCAAAAGAGAAAAGGUCACUUCUCAGCAGAGACAAAGUACUAAUUAAGAGGACCCAGUCCACUGCCUCCACACAGAGGCAGUUAAAAAGUCUUCAUCUGUCAUAAAAGCCUCGGUGUCGGGACGUCAGAGAGCUGCUGAACUGGAACAACACAAAAACCAGAGAGCUGCACCGCUGGAGGGACGGACGAGGAACUGCUGAGGAAGUUGGGACAAAUUUAUUCAUAAGCUACACAUUUAGAUAAAUCGUGGCCUUUUCACUCCUCCAGUACGGUCCGUUUAUAAUAUUAGCUCAUUUAAAGCUAAUGUACCGAGCGUUAACAUUCUUACAAAGUGCACUAAAGUACUGAAACUAAAGUCCUUCAGCCAAUCACGGAUCACUUCCUCAGGCAGAACUACUGUUUAUUUACUAACUAACAGCCUGAUUCUUAAAUAUAAUAUUCAUAGGUUUGUUUCCAUUAGUGUAUAAUCACCUGAAUAUAGGAAUCAUUUUGAUGUUACCUUAGAAUGAGCUGGUUAUAUUUACAGAUAUUGCCUUUCAGGAAGCAACCAUGUUGAACUGCCAUGUUUCUACACUGGCACUAGAUUGGGUCGUUUUUCAUGCUUUUCAUGGCCACUGUAGUUUCUCCCUCACGCUUGGAAAGGGAGGGUGAAGUGACUGAGUUGCGAUCUACACCUGUAGAUACCACUAAAUCCUACAUACUGAACCUUUUAACUGUUAAAUAAAAAGUAAUAAAAUGUUCCUGUUUGGUGGAUAAAUGUGAGACGUUGCAUCUUCACAGCUAGAAAGGAGGAAGUGGGUUUUGGUGACAUUAAAAGUGAUAAAGUUGCGGUGAUUGGACAACGUUUGGGCAGAAUUCACAGGGAUUGGCUGCAACAUCGCAACUCAAUGCUGUGUUAACUAUCCUGUACAUCAGUGCUUCCCAACCUGGGGGUCGGGACCCUCGCUAUGGGUCACCAAAGCUUCACAGGGGGUCGCGAGGCCUUCUUGAUUUUCAGACAUAUAAGAAAACUUUAAAAAAUAAACACUAUCUAAGAAUUUUGUACAUUUUUGUGAUGAAAACUUAAUGUAUUUAUUUAACUUUGUAGACAUUAUUCACAGCACCUUUACUCUCUGCUAAACAACCAAAGAGCUGAUAGAACAAUGAGAAGAAAACACUGAAUUUGUCCAGAAAAAGCCUGUUAAGUCUGUAUGAUUGUUAAAAAUAAUAAUUAAAAAAAAACAUAAUACAGACAGAUAAUUGUAGAAAAAGUUCCUAAAAAUAUCACUAAAACUCAUCUCUGCUCAAAAUUCAUCCAAAUCUCUGGUUUUACACAAACUUCUUGCAGUUACUGAGUUCUCUGUUUAGGUUCAUUGUGCAGUUUAUCUGCUGUUCUCUACUGUUAUUCUUAUUCAAUAUAAUGAAUGAAUUAUCCAUAAAAUAUUGUCAGUUUACUCAGUGAUAGAAAAAGGCUUCCUUAAGGAAAAAGGUCGUCGUACAUCCUUCUUGAAAUAAACCAAUGACGAGAGAAUGUGAAACCUUUAAUUGAAUUGAACUGUAUGUGCAUUAUCGAGGACGUUCUCACCUCUAAUGUGAAUGAAUGUGUUGUUGAUAUUGUGACAGGCGCUUUCUCCGAUCCCAGUCUCAGUCGCAGUCAGAUCCAAUGGUGUCAUUUAGACAAACGCUUCCCAUUUCCAACAAAACUCCCAACGUCCCUUUGAUGCCAGGCAUCCAGAACUGGCACUCAGUGUAAUUUGCCCUCGCCAGGGUCUUUUCACACGCACACACACACACACACACACACACACACACACACACACACACACACACUGCGUUCCCUGUUUGCCUGUUUUAUUUGCUUUCAUUAUUGUGUGUGUGUCUGUGGGUUUUUUCCCCCCCUCAUCUACUACUUCUUCUCAUCUCUGCAGUUUGAUUGUUUUUCGGUUUAAUCGCAGCUUAUUCCUGGGCCUUGUUUCCUUCCUCGUGUUGUCAUUUCAUCCUCCUCCUCCUCCUCGUCUCUGAGGGCUUGUUUUCUGUUCGUGCCGUGGCUCUUUUCAUGUGUCCCUCGCCGGCAGAAAUUGACGCUUAAAUACACAGGAGGAAAAAGAACAAAACAAACAGACAAACAGAGAACAGAUGCAGAGCGGCUGCAAAUUCCUCCGUCUCUUCUUUUAACUGUGUGACAUUGGAAAAGAGCGGGAGUGAAAAGUGAUGGUGCAACACGGUGAAACAUUUCACAACAAAGGCUGAGUGCGUGGAGAGCCAAGGCUGCGUACCUACUGUAUAUGUGGAGACAGACAUGUAAAGACAGAUAAAGGUACUCUCACAUGCUGGCGUUGAAUCCGAAGAGAUAAUUCCACUUUAUUACGGUCAUGUUGCUGUAGUUUGAGACAGUUUUUGUGAUAACGUUGCCGUUCGCUUAUGUUUUCUCUUCCAAAUAAGUUCGGCUUUGUUAUCGUCUCGUGUUUCUUGACCCUUCAACUUGCUCAGUUUGAUGAUAUCAAAAUCGAUUGGAAGUACAGGACAAAGAGAAAAGCAAAGGCUUCAGUGUCCUUCAAAGGGAACUAGGUUGUAUGGGGGACAA
rnacentral:lncRNA from 1 species